CGCAGUUUGGGCUCCGCCCCAAACAGGGGGCGUCUUCCAAUGUCCCCAGACUUUGAAAAGAGUGGGGAAGGGGCCUUCAGGGGGGGGGUCCCUGCAGGAAGGGAGCGCAGAGGCAGCGGCCGGCCCAGCGAGCAUCAUCAGCCUGAAACACAUCUAAAAUCUUCGGAUUUGGAAGAAGCCCCAUUUCUUUCACAAAAUCCGCAUUCCAAGUUUGUAACCUGUGCUCCCUUCUGGUUGGUUAGGAUUUGAAUGGAUUCUCAUGUCAUACCUUGGUUGUCCACUGGAGGGCGCUGUUUGGGUGUUUUUAAGGCUAUUAGAGAAGGCACAGAGUGGAGUUGUUUGAGGGCACUGUGGAGUGGGAGAGGUGAAGGACAAGGGGGUCCUAAACAGGGAAGUUCUGUUCUGGGGACACUAGGUCCUGACUUAGGCUCUUCCAGGACAGAAAGAGAGGGAUGGGCUCUGACCAACGUCAUCUUAGGUUAGUUCGGCCCAAGACUUGGGGGCUGUCUGAAGCAGCCAUGAGUGAUUCCUAUAAAUCUAGGUUGCAGCUCUACAAGAGUGGAAAUCUGAGGCCAGACAAGGGACAUAUGUCCCUUACUUAAAGAUGUCCUAAAAUUCAAGGGUAGGGGUGUGGCUCAGUGGUAGAGCCCCUGCCUAGAAUCCCCCAGGGAAGGGCUGGGGCGUGGCUCAGUGGUAGAGCCCCUGCCUAGCAUCCCCCAGUGAGGGGCUGGGGGCGUGGCUCAGUGGUAGAGCCCCUGCCUAGCAUCCCCCAGUGAGGGGCUGGGGGCGUGGCUCAGUGGUAGAGCCCCUGCCUAGCAUCCCCCAGUGAGGGGCUGGGGGCGUGGCUCAGUGGUAGAGCCCCUGCCUAGCAUCCCCCAGUGAGGGGCUGGGGGCGUGGCUCAGUGGUAGAGCCCUUGCCUAGAAUCCCCCAGUGAGGGGCUGGGGGCGUGGCUCAGUGGUAGAGCAUCUGCCUAGAAUCCCCCAGGGAAGGGCUGGGGCUUGGCUCAGUGGUAGAGUCACUGCCUAGAAUCACCCAGGGCUGUGGGCUCGGCUCAGUGGUAGAGGAUGUUGGUUUAGGAUGUGGAAAAUUCUGGGUUUUUAUUAUCCCUGCUGAGCACAGGGAAAGUCAAGGAAGACAAUGUCCCAUUACUUCAGGAGAAGCCUGAACAAUGGAUUACUCUUUUGAAACCUGGAUGACUGAGGGGGGCGGGGGGACUGUCUUUUAUAUAAUGGCAGGAAUAUCACUUUGGAAUAUCUUUUAUCUUAUUUAAAAUAUUGUAUUUUGACAUUUAUUUACAGUCUCCUCUCUUUCUUUCUCUCUGUGUGCACAAGUGUGCCAUGUCGCGUGUGUUGUGGUCCGAGGGAUACCUGUGGCUCUCAGGCCCGCCCUUCGGUCCCUGCCCACUCCAGAGAGUGAUCUGGGAGGAUUCUUUGUUUUGGAAUCAAUCUUUGAGAGCAGUUCUACUUCCAUUUCUGUUGCUAUGGUGAAACACACUAAGUAAAAAAAAAAAAAAACAACAACAACAAAAAAAAACCAGCUUAACAGAGAAGGGAUUAUUUUAGCUCUCUCUACCACUUCAGGCUACUAUGCACUACUGUGGGAUCGUCACAGUAGGAGGGCACAACCAGUCAUCCAUCCAUGGUCAAGACUAGAGACGAAGAGAUGCAUGUGGUUCACUCGCUUGCCCAGCUAGAUUUCUCCACUCUUACACAGCUCAGGGGAUGGUGCUGCCCACAGUGGGCUCAGUCUUUCCACGUCAGUUACCUUAAGACAAUCUCACAGGGAUGCUGGCCAACUCAGUGUAAGUAAUAGACUCAGUGUAAGUAAUCCCACAUCGUGACUCUUUUCUCAGGUGACUGUAGGUUGUGUCAAGUUGACCCUUAAAGCUAGCUAUCAUAAAAGCCACGGGGUCCUAGAAAAAUGAGGAAAGGCCCUCGGAAAACACAAAGUUAUCUCCAGUUCUCCCUCCAGAGCUGGACAUCCUGUAUCUGCAUCCCUCUCUAAAAUGCCGAAGACACAACAUCUUUUAAUCCCCACCUCCAACCCCCACUGAGGCUCAAGAGAACCAGAGAAGUAGAGAGACAUAUAGGUAGAGUCAAAAUGAGGGAAGAGAGCUGUUGUGGUUUUCACAAACCUAGACAUAUCUGGGUGGGAAACCCAGUAGAGGAACUGCAUCCAUUAGAUUGACCGGCGGGAAUGUCCGCGGGAUAUUUUCUUAAUUGCCAACUGAUCUAGGAGGGUUCAGACCACUGUGGGUGCAUGGAUACGUCUGGACUCUAUAAGAAAAGCAGCCUGAGGAAGCUAAGACAGCAAGCCAGAAAGUGGUGUUCUUUCUCGAUCCGUGCUUCCAUUUCUGCCUCCAGGUUCCUGCCUUGGUCUCCCCUGAUGACGGACUGUAACCUCUAAGCCAAGUCAACCCUGUCCUCAUCACAGUUGCUUUGGGACAGUGUUUUAUCCCAUUUUCUGUUGUGGAUGGCGGGCAUGGGGAUGUCAGGGAUCAUCCUUAAUUGGAUCUAUCUUAUUCCUUGAGGCAGGGUCACUCAAUCAAACCCAGAGCUCACCGAUGUGGCUCCUCUUACUAACCAGGCAGCCUACUACACACACUUAGCAUUCACCUGGCACCUGAGGUUACAAACUAUGGCUCUCACGCUUCUAUGGCCAGCACUUUAAUCAUGGAGGCAUCUUCCCAUCUCUGGGAGAUACUUUUCUAAAGUCACAGAAGGGGUGGGUAAUUCAUUACACACCCUGGCUUCAAGGUUACAGUUCUUCUAUAAAGUCCGGAGCUUACUACCUGAUGACACUUAGGCGGUAAGCAGUCAUUAUCUGUGGGUGAUGUCUUUGCCUGUUUUGGCUUCCUGCCUAUUCGAUUGCCUUGAUAAUGAAGGUUGACCUCAGAGAUGGUCUGAGUAAGAAUAAAAUGAGAUUGUAUUUAGUGACAUGUUUGUGGAGGGGUUGGUUAGCAAAGGAGAUCCCCACCAUGUCCUAAUACAGAACCAGCAAUGGGUCAGGGCCACUCAACACCCCACCUUGGUAUCCCUAACGUCACAGAAAUGCUAAGCUAGGAGCUCUCGCUGGCCCAAGGAUGCCAGGCCACACACAAGGCCAACUUUGCACACUCCCCCAGUUAGCAAGUGAUGUCUAAGAUGAUUGCCAUGCGGGGCUGGGGAUUUAGCUCAGUGGUAGAGCGCUUGCCUAGGAAGCGCAAGGCCCUGGGUUCGGUCCCCAGCUCCGAAAAAAAGAACCACAAAAAAAAAAAAAAAAAAAAAGAUGAUUGCCAUGCUCUGCCAGGAACGAAUGCUACUCUGCCCCU